AUUUCUUCUCUGCCUUUUGGCUAAGAACAAGUGUAUUAUCUGUUCUUAUCAGUAGGGGUUUCUGCUAAUGCUCCGUAAGUAAGUCAGUGCUCACUUGAUUCUCUGGCCAGGGGGCUGGCUGCUAUGGAGCCAGAGCAUUUUUUUGCCCCAGGCUUUGUACCCUUGGGGUGCCCAAACACAAGGGUUUGCACUUUUU
ensembl:snRNA U2 U2 spliceosomal RNA